rnacentral:rRNA from 1 species
CAAUAGCGUAUAUUAAAGUUGUUGCAGUUAAAAAGCUCGUAGUUGAAUUUCUGGUCGUGAAACGUGGUCCGUUCCGCAAGGAAUGUGUACUGUCGAUUUAUGUCCAUCCUCGGUGUUAGUAUGCAUUACUUUAAUCGGUCGUGUAUACAACCACCGUCAUUUACUGUGAGCAAAUUAGAGUGUUCAAAGCAGGCGUUUGCUUGAAUAUAUUAGCAUGGAAUAAUGGAAUAGGACGCUGGUUCUAUUUUGUUGGUUUUGAGAACCAGAGUAAUGAUUAAUAGGGACAGUUGGGGGCAUUCAUAUUUCAUUGUCAGAGGUGAAAUUCUUGGAUUUAUGAAAGAUGAACUUCUGCGAAAGCAUUUGCCAAGGAUGUUUUCAUUAAUCAAGAACGAAAGUUAGGGGAUCGAAGAUGAUUAGAUACCAU